UACAGAGGUGUCAAGCGUUGCUCGGUAUCACUGGGCUUAAAGGGCGCGUAGGCUGUGCGGUACGGUUCGGGUGAAAUCCCUCGGCUCAACCGAGGAACUGCCCGGGCGACGGCCGUGCUGGACUGCAUCAGGGGACGAUGGAACUCCCGGUGGAGCGGUGAAAUGCGUAGAUAUCUGGAGGAACACCGGUGGCGAAGGCGGCAUCCUGGACCAACACUGACGCUGAUGAGCGAAAGCCAGGGGAGCAAACGGG
rnacentral:rRNA from 1 species